ACCACUCCCACAAAAGUCUACGACCGCACCUACAUAUUUUUGCAUGUUUACAAUUCUAAUUUAAUUUAAACAUCCAAUCGACGUUUAAUUGUAAUUGUUACCAAGAACCUGAUUGGCUGUUCAAAAUUAGAAUUCUAAACAUGCAAAAUAUGUAGGUGCAGUCGUAGACGUUUGUGGGAGUGGC